CAAAGGACUGUGAAUCAAACUAAUUUAAUUAAAUUUUUUCCUCCUUGACUUGGUCACCAAGACUUUCCUUAGUUCAAAUUUUAAAUAAAUAUUCUACAGAGAUUUUCCUCUAGGACGUGAUCUACAAAUAAAAUUCUAAAGAAAUAAAAUUAGUUAGUCCUAAUUAAUUUUUAUGAAAUUAAUUACCCAUUAUCCACCCCUUUCCCACGUUCAAAAAAACCGUAUCUCCACUCCCAAAAAUCUCUCCAACAAACAAAUCAAAUCUCUACAAUAUAUGUAUAUCCGUCCCCACAACUUCAUCUGUUAGCAUUCGCCGUUCCACAAUUCCUAUGCAGAUUUCUUCUCUUUCACAAAGCUAAAUUCUCCUCAAUCCCUUGAAUAAUGAAAAAUCUCCAUACUUUUGAUUCCAUAACACAAAUUCUCGAAAUCACGGUGUGAAGGAGAAAUUAAGUGAGUCGUGAUCUGUUUCAAUACAUCAUCUUCUGCAAGUUUUUGCUUCUUCCGAAAGCAAUGGUAGAAUCGGAAGAGAUGGAAAUGAACAAUGCUGCUGGAAAAAACGGAAGAGAACAAACAUCUUCUUACAGGAGGUGCUGGUUUUAGGGCUGGCGCCAUCUUCCGAGUACACAUUUUUGGUGUAUGCUUCUUCAGUUGGAAACUAUUGAGAGGAAGAGACUGUGCCGAUCAGCUUGUACGUUGAAGGUGUGAAGAGCGUCGUGAAUUAUGCGCCGGUGAGGUCAUGAAAUGCUAGUAAUCAUGGAGAGCAAGAACUACCAAGCAAACCACUAUGCCACUCAGGGCGAUGAGCAGACGUUGCUCCAGUGCCUGCAUCAAGAGCUUUACAAUCUCAAGUUUCUAAUCGUGGAUCGCGGACGCUUUGCCGGAUAAGGAGAAUGACAGUCGGAUUCUUCUCACCACUAGGCUUCGGGAGCGAUGGUAGAAUCGGAAGAGAUGGAAAUGAACAAUGCUGCUGGAAAAAACGGAAGAGAACAAGCAUCUUCUUACAGGAGGUGCUGGUUUUAGGGCUGGCGCCAUCUUCCGAGUACACAUUU